rnacentral:rRNA from 1 species
CAGUCGAGGGGCAGCAUGAACUUAGCUUGCUAAGUUUGAUGGCGACCGGCGCACGGGUGAGUAACACGUAUCCAACCUGCCGAUGACUCGGGGAUAGCCUUUCGAAAGAAAGAUUAAUACCCGAUGGCAUAGUUCUUCCGCAUGGUAGGACUAUUAAAGAAUUUCGGUCAUCGAUGGGGAUGCGUUCCAUUAGCUUGUUGGCGGGGUAACGGCCCACCAAGGCAUCGAUGGAUAGGGGUUCUGAGAGGAAGGUCCCCCACAUUGGAACUGAGACACGGUCCAAACUCCUACGGGAGGCAGCAGUGAGGAAUAUUGGUCAAUGGGCGCUAGCCUGAACCAGCCAAGUAGCGUGAAGGAUGACUGCCCUAUGGGUUGUAAACUUCUUUUAUAUGGGAAUAAAGUGCAGUAUGUAUACUGCUUUGCAUGUACCUUAUGAAUAAGGAUCGGCUAACUCCGUGCCAGCAGCCGCGGUAAUACGUAGGGGGCAAGCGUUAUCCGGAAUUACUGGGUGUAAAGGGAGCGUAGACGGUUAAGUAAGUCUGGAGUGAAAGGCCGGGGCCCAACCCCGGGACUGCUCUGGAAACUAUUGAACUUGAGUGCAGGAGAGGUAAGCGGAAUUCCUAGUGUAGCGGUGAAAUGCGUAGAUAUUAGGAGGAACACCAGUGGCGAAGGCGGCCUGCUGGACGAUGACUGACGUUGAGGCUCGAAAGCGUGGGGAGC